GGACUUCAAGGAGCAAAGGGCUUGGAGGUGGUCCAUCCUUGGUCUAAAAUCAAGAUCAAGAGGUAUAGUUCUAUACCUUCACUUAGUUCUUAACUUGAAUGUUUUAGAUGCAUUAUAUAUAAACCUAUGAACCUUUAAGGGGAUUUGCAUGACUAUAGCUUUGAUUUUAUUUGAUAACAUGCUUCCGUUGCUUAUGUAUAUAAAUUUUGAAUUGUAUAUGCAUGCUAGUCAUUUCGAAAUCCCAUGUGUAAAACUCAUAGUUUUCCCUUCACUUUUGUCUCUAGUCAUAUGCCUCAUCCAUUCACUAUCAAGAUACCAUGUAUCUAACUGACAAGCUAAGAAAGCAGUGAACGCCACUAAACAUGUAAGAUUGUCUUCCUCGAAUAAUGGUGACAUCUUAUCCAAUAAGCAAAUUUGAGUCUUAUUUCUUCUUCACACUUGCUUUAAGUUGGAGCAAUAGAAUUUCAAAUGGGCUUGAUUUUUUAAAUUCUAUUCAUUUUUUUUAGGUGAGGAACAAAUCUCUUUGUAUGACUCAUUUUUUAAAAGAUCCAAGAAAUAAUGUUUCGAGUUCUAUUUCCCUCUCGAGGUUUGUUGAACCUAGGUCUAAUAUGUCCUAUUUUUUCA
rnacentral:lncRNA from 1 species